GACGAACGCUGGCGGCGUGCUUAACACAUGCCAGUCGAACGGAAAGGCCCUGCUUUUGUGGGGUGCUCGAGUGGCGAACGGGUGAGUAACACGUGAGUAACCUGCCCUUGACUUUGGGAUAACUUCAGGAAACUGGGGCUAAUACCGGAUAGGAGCUCCUGCUGCAUGGUGGGGGUUGGAAAGUUUCGGCGGUUGGGGAUGGACUCGCGGCUUAUCAGCUUGUUGGUGGGGUAGUGGCUUACCAAGGCUUUGACGGGUAGCCGGCCUGAGAGGGUGACCGGCCACAUUGGGACUGAGAUACGGCCCAGACUCCUACGGGAGGCAGCAGUGGGGAAUAUUGCACAAUGGGCGGAAGCCUGAUGCAGCAACGCCGCGUGCGGGAUGUAGGCCUUCGGGUUGUAAACCGCUUUCGCCUGUGACGAAGCGUGAGUGACGGUAAUGGGUAAAGAAGCACCGGCUAACUACGUG
rnacentral:rRNA from 1 species